CUGAACAUGCAGUGCAAGAGCUGAUCCCUGGAGAUCUGGGUGCAGUGGGCAAUGGGAGAAGAAGGUACCCUGGAGCAGAGGAGGAACCUUGCCUGUACUUGUAGGUAUCAAUUCCUGGAGUUGCACACAAUUCUUCAGAGUACUGGGAGAGAAAGUAAUAUCUCAGAAACCACAACAGGCAAUUUGUAAAGGCUAAUGAUUUAAUGCCAUCUUUUAUAGCUUAUGGUAAGUCAAACUUUUGUGGUUUUAGUAAAAAGCUUAAACGAGUUCUUGUGUUUAUUUUUCACAGUAAUUACAUUUAUCACUCUUAACUAGAUACGGAUCAUUCAAAUCUUUUAAAUGAUAUGCCUAAAUAUAUUUUUUUUUUGUUGCCAUUGCCCUUUUCUCUCCUUUUGCCCUUGACAAAAUCAGCCAUGCUGUCCCUUUUUCCAGUUCUCACAGAGAACUAGUUUUGCCAACCAAUUUCCAUGUGAUGGAAAUACCUGCCCUUUUGUUGAAAGGACAGACACAUGCAGCAUUCUAUUGAGAUAUCUGUAUCUCUGAAGCAUAUACAUUGUAUUCUUUAAGUGAAUUAUUUGCCACUGCAAUGUUACGCUUACCUCAUUCUUCCAGCUGAAUCCACAGAUACUGGGAUAAGCUGAAUGAUUUUCAACAGUUCACAAAUAUUUACAAAAUAAAUGGUUUUUACCCAAAAGUAUAUUUAUGUAAUGCUAAACAUAAUACAAUAUUACAGAAAAUAUUUCUGGGACAUAGGGCAAGCAGAAAUUUCAAGAAAGAGAUCUGGAGCACAGGAACAGCAGAUGCGUAGAAAACACAGAGAACAUAGAUUACGUUUUUGUAUUUAAUUCAGGACAAUUUUUCAGUGUUGUCAUUAUAUGAUGCAUUAGAAGAGCCUGCAAAAGGCUCACAGUCCUUGCACCCUCUUCUGAGGUUCUCUGCAGAGAUAAUUCUUCCUGAUUUCAUAGACAAACUCAGAGUGAGUACCCAAAUAUUCAAAAUAUUUUCCUUUCACUAACAAUUAAACAACCAGUCAUUACAAAAAAUCUUGCUCUCGGACUGUGUCAAUAUUGUCACAUCUUAUAUAUCUCUUUGGACCAGGGUCCAUUGGGAGAAGUUAAAAAGCUGGAUAAGGUUAUGAUAAAAAGCAAUAGGAAUGUUGGAAAGCCAUAAUAAAGUGCUAAUAUUCCACCACUUGGUAUUCAUAUAAAGAUUGAUGCUGAAUAUACUUUAAUUAGAAUAUAAGAUUAUGACUCAAAGUGAGAUGUCAAGAUAGGAAGUGCAUAAAUAUAUAAGUAGGAUAACUGAAAAGACAAGGCACCUCAGAGAUUCUGCGAAAAUGGGCCACUGAGAAAUACACCAAUGUACAACAUGCAUUUUGACAAAAUGCACAAAGAUGUACUUCAGAACUCUGGAUACUAAUUUUUUAUUCCUUGAUUUUAAAUUCAUUGGAUUAAUAAAAAAUAUCUAGAAGCCAUUGUGUCCAUCCCUAAAAGAGACAUCUUCUUGAUGUGUAACUGAUGCCCAAGAAACAAUAAACAGUUGAAUGGGAAGGGCAAUUACAAUAUUAGAUUGAUUUACAGCUCGUCUGUUUUAAUCUGCACCUAAAAUACUUGAAAAAUUCUAGUGGCUAAAUUGUCAGUGCUCCCUGUAGAUGAAAAUUUCAUUAUUGAUUUAAUUUAGAAAAAAGCAAAAGCAGUAAAGCUCAGAGAAAACCAACUUUUUAAAAAAAAUGCCAAAUGAGCUUGAACAAAUCAGUGUGCCUAAUUCCUAGUAAGCACUGAACUGAAGUGCUUCUAACUUCAUAAAUAUGUGUUUAUGUGCAAUGAGAACAAGAGUAAUUCUGGUGAAAACAUUACUCUAUAAUCCCUCAAUAAGAGUGAACAUGGCAAACCUCACCUUAGUCUUCUAUAGGAACCCUAAUGUUGAAUUCUGUUCUGUACAUUUAACACAGAGAAAAAUUCUAGACCAAUGUGACAUCAAAAAAAACCACCCAAAACAACAAGUUGUAAAUUUCUCCCCUUUGAGACAAAAAUGAAACAUCAGAUUUCUGAGACUGGGGACGAAGUUUCUCUGUUGGCAGUUACCUCUCCUGGGUAACCUAUGACUAUGUUUGUAACCUUAGCUUAGAUCUGGCACUGGUUAUCCAACAGGCCAUCUCCUUCUGGGUCCAUAGCACAGCCUGAGAGAGGUCCCUGUUUAUCAGUGUAACUGCUUAUUUCACCAAGCCCCCAUGCUCAAGUGGAAGAUGAUUAUAUAGCAUGGUGCCAACACACGCAGCCUUUUCCUGUGCUCCAUUUACUGAGAGAUGAGGGUGCUUCAUGCUGAUCAUUUUAGUUCUUAACCCAUAGAAGAGUAUGAUUCCAACCUGUGUUAUUUCUUAUUUAUAUAAACAUUAAUAGUUUGUUGCCUGUUUCAAUACUAUGGAAAAUGAUGCAUGCAUUGCCAGUCUUUUCUUGACUAUUGCUUAAAAGGAAAUAAAUAUGACAAAAUCUGGGUUCACUUUUAAGGCUUUAACUUUAUGUAAGUCUGCUGUUAAAGCUACAGAGAGUGUAAAAUCUGCUGCCCUGGCAAGGAAACUUCCUGUGCUAACAUCCAGCUUUCUGCUCAUGUCUGGGCUCAGGAGUUUUCAGGAGCUGCUCCAAGUCAUCCCUUUAAAUCUGCACUGUCACCUGAUUUUGAAGCACCUUGUACUCCUUGGGUCUUUAUGGGUAAUUUCUAUGCAAGCACUGUUGUGUAAGCACAAUAUCCUUGUUCCUUGCAUAAAUUUCAGUUAUCCCUGCUAGGCA